GCACAUCAUCAUAGUGCAGAGCCAUCCCUGUGGGGCAGGCGUAGCCGUUGACUGGGUUGUCCAGAAGGACUGCUUGGCCAGCUGGAUGACGUUGGCGGUGGUCUCGACGUCAAUGUAGUCAUAGUGCAAGGUGGCUGGAUCAGUGGUGGAGCCGGUCUCAGCCAACAAAACCCCCAACCAGCGACCCAUCGCCUCAGAGGAGGAGGCCUGGAAGAAGAAAAAGACAGUUACAGAACCAGUUUGCAUGAUAUUAAAGGACCUAAAAUAGCUUGUUGAUAAGAGCUCAGAGCAGUUCUCUAACUGUUUUAUCAUUAACUUUACUUUUUCACAUUAAUAUAAUCUGAUCAACAUUUGGUUUGUUGUAGGGAGUGGCCACUUCUUGCAUGGAACUACCCAUCAAAGACUUGGUAAUGAUGGUUUUACAAGGAAAAGAAACAAGGCUAUUAGAGAACAGUGUACAGACUGUGUGAGGAAAUAGAAGAAAAACAAACUAAAUAGCAAUAAGGAAUAAGGAGUAAAACAUGACAAGCAUUGUA